rnacentral:lncRNA from 1 species
UGAAUACCUUCCUGGUUGUUGUGGAAAUGUAUUUAGUUCUGUAGCUACAGGUAAUUACAACGCUUUCUCCUUUGUAGUUUAAUUGUUGUUUCAGAAAGUAGUUUUACGUUUAGGAAAACGGUUUACCAUCGAAACACGUAGCAAUAUCAUAGCAUGCAUAUGCAGUCCGAUAUGCGGUUAAAUUAGAACAAAAGAAUUCGACCUCUUGUGUUUAGAAGGUAGAAAAGUAAAACAAACUUUGUAUACGGUUGUCAAGAUGUCACAAAAGUUACUUUCCGUAAAGUCAUUAUAAAUAUUUGCAUUCACGUUGUUUAAUUUUCAUAUUGUACAAUUGUUAACAAUGCAACUUGCAAACAAUCGUUUUUAAAACGACCAUAAGUCAGGCUGUUACGUCAUUUAGGGGGUCUUCUUAAAAACUGCUACUUUUUUUUGCCCGACAUAGAAAAAAUCUGGGGAAAAUUACAAAAAUUGAGAAAUGAAUUGUCAAUCGUUUAAGACCAUUCCCAAAGUGGCACACCUAAAAUUGACAUUCGGACGCAAUUUCAAAGUUGGAUGUUAUAUGACGGGGUUUUGUUAAUAAAUUUACGCAUCGAACACACCCGUCCUUUUUAUGUAACAUCACAUGACUUUUAAGUGAUUAAAACUAUUUUUUUUUAAAUAAUAUUUGCAUGUUUGACAUGUUUUUUUCUUAAACAAUUACAUUUACACCGACAGUCAUAAUUACUGUAUUAUCUAAAAAAAAGUUUUGUUACACAUUUUGUUACAUCUUAGUUAUAGUAACCCGGAUUGGUUGAUCAUUGUGAAGUUGCAUAUAUUUAUAUCGUUGUAUUCCUUUUGUUUGUGUUAACCAAUUGUCGCUCGGAAUUAUUUUUUAUACAUCAUUUAUUGAUCUUGUAAUUUCUUGUUAUUUAGUUUGCGUCUUAUUUCUUUGGUGUCAUAUUUUGGCUAUGUUUGUGUUCGAUCAUACAGUAUAAUAAGUCGGUAGUUGCCCGCGAAUUUCUUGUGACUCUUUGCGUCUUAUUUGUUGAUUGCAGUUGGCUUUUUGUUUUGUGUCAUGUGGAGAUAUAGUGUGAUUUUGUUUUUCUUUUGAUGUGUUUGCAUCUUAGAUUGGGAUUGCACUGAGUUAUUUCAUGAUUUCUUUUGUGCUAUAUUUUCGAUACAUUUUUAUUGCCCCACCUACGAUAGUAGAGAGGCAUUAUGUUUUCUGGUCUGUGCGUCCGAUCGUUCGUUCGUCCCGCUUCAGGUUAAAGUUUUUGGUCAAGGUAGUUUUUGAUGAAGUUGAAGUCCAAUCAACAUGAUCAACUUGAAACUUAGUAAACAUGUUCCCUAUGAUAUGAUCUUUCUAAUUUUUACGCCAAAUUAAAGUAUUGACCCCAAUUUCACGGUCCACUGAACAUGUAAAAUGAUAGUGCGAGUGGGGCAUCCGUGUACUAUGGACACACAGUGGCGUAGCUACCCGGAGGCACGACAGCACGUGCAUCCACGUCGUUUUCACAACAACAACAAAAAAAAAAGCAGAAGAGAGAGAGAUGAGUUGGUCAAUCGGAAUCGGAGACUGUUGGUGUCUUCCGUCUAUCCCGGAUAUAUGUUUAACAACCUAGUUACAAGUGUUGAUGAAGCUGUUCAUUCAGAAAAAGAUCGUAGCUCCGAAGUUGCGUGCACAUUGAUUCGGCAUGCAAAAAAAGAAAUGGCAAAAUAAAAAUUUAUAAAUUGAAUGUUAAAGGAAACACCUAUGUUGUCACUUUUUUAAUUGAUGAAAUAUCAUUAAAUAACGACAUUUGGUUUCAAAAUUAAAAAAAAAAUGGAGAUUAUGACAAAAUCGGAAGGUUACUUGUAUCUUUGACAAGAUUUUUACUUUUGAAUUUGUUAUACUCAGUCUAAGAUAUGUAGUUUUGGAGCACAUUUUACAGUGUACAGUUCAUCAGUUUGGAAUGAGAUGUACCAAUCGGCAUUAGAAUUAUCAGAUCUCUUCGAUAUCGUUGAAAAUAUGCCGAGGCGAUGUGGUUGACAGACUACCGGAGCCAAUCACCCUGCAACCACGCCAAAACAGUAUUGGAAAGUCUCAUUAUUUUUUUGCGUUCAUAGACCAUAUGAUAAGGCAACUGGAGAGUGGAGUCGCGUCAAGUUAUCAGAAAAUCGCUUCUUUGUGUUGUAACUGCUUCAUCGUGUUGUAGGAAAUAUCACAAACGAACAAAUCUCAAUAUUGUCUGAAACAUACGAAACUGACCUAGCAUGUAAUUUUGACGAAUUCAAUUGGGAGGUCGCUCGAUGCCGAACACGUACGCUGGUUUAUAACAUCUCGCGAGUGCUACCAUGCCAUGAUGGCCCUGAGAUCUAUCAGUCACGGUACUACGUAUGUAAUUGAAAACAAAUGUACGAUCAACAAUGAACAACGAAAGUUACAUAGCAUUACUGCAUAUUCAUCGGGAUUUCAGUGUGAAUGUUGACAAAGUAAUAGAGAAGUUUGUUUCUGCCCAGACCCGAAGAGCAGAUUUUGGACAAUUUUGAGUAAAUUCUGUAUCACAAAUAUGUGUUGUUUAUGUAUUACUAUAUUCAGAAGAUUUAUUAAUAGUUAUACAUUCAUAAAUUUUUAUCUACAUAUAGCUCCUCUUUUAACCGUCCUAUGACCGAAAACCGAAAAAAAAUCUAUAAUUUUACAUUAGGAGGGAAGAGCGGGGGGGGGGGGGGGGGGGGGCUGACUGAGCUAAGGGGAGCUCGCUCCAGUCAUGCUUCAGUGAUUCCCUAUGUUUAAUCAAACAUAUUUUUCCGACGAAAGCCACCCCCCUCCCCGAAUCCGCCUUUAUUCUUUUAAACGUUGUUCUUAUACAUACUUACCUCCAUGUUAUUGUCUCAAGUCUUCAGUCUUUGCACCAAACACUUACAAUCAACAGUGAUAUUGUUGGCUUUUUUAAAAACUACCUCUACCCUUUUUUAUUGGGAAAAUAUGCAUCAUUUUUAUCAAAUUGGGAAAUUUAUAAUAUACCAUGAAUUUGACUGGAACUUCAAUUUGCAGACCCCCUUUUAAGAGGUAAACCUUCAUUUGAAACAAGACCUCUUAUUAUCAAAGAUGAUAAAUAAAUAGACCUUCAAAUCUAAACAUAUAGCCAUUUUAUGCAUUAAAAAUGUUUAAAUGAGUGUUUUUCAGUUUUAUUCAUGCACAAUUACUACUGAGACUGCACUGUUUGGGAAAAAAAAUUUUAUUUGGGAAUAAUUUGAAGCCAUUUUUUUCCAAAUUGGGAUUCUUCUCCAGGGGAAAAAGCCUUUAUUCUCCAGUAAUUUAAGGCAAACAAUAUCACAGAUCAACCAAACCAUUGCUAGGACGGUGCUUAAAAGAGCAGCGGCUUGGGUUAAAAUUGUACUUACUAGACAGUUUUUGAUAAUCUGUUACAGUUUUGUACAAGAGUUAGUCCUUUGUUGUUUUAAUAAUAAAAACGGAACUAUUAUGAUGUUAUGGGAAAUAUCGAGUUUGCUUGAUAUUGACAAAUCAAAAAUUCAAGUCACAUGGUAAUGGUAAUUGGGAUGCUUAAACCUUUGACAUAUUUUGUAAGUUGAAAAAUGAACAUACUUAUUUAAAGACAUUUUGUGAGUGUUAACAUUUACGGUUGACUGGCAUAUUUUAUGUAGAAUGUACAACCUGUUUUAUUUUAAAAAAAAAUGAUUCUAAAAGAUAACGAAAAUUAAGCAUAUGCUCUUUUAACUGUUCUUUAACAGGGCUCCAAUCUAAAAAAAAAAAGAAGGGUUCAGAUGAUCAAGUUCUAUGAAGAAGGAGAAAGGGGAAACCAAUGGCACUGCUAUAUCAUCUCAGAAAUUAUAUAAAUUAUUACCAUCAGUAUUACAAGGCUAUGAAGGAUGCAUUCACAUCUCUUCUGUUAUGGAAACGUUUGACAAAUUAUGUAUAUAAAAAAAAACAAGUUCCUUUUGUGGCAUAACUUUAUUCAUAUAGAUUAUUUCUCCUACAUAUCUUUAUAUAUUGCUUUCUUUAGUUCAAAUUGGAAUCUCAGAUAAGCAUCUGGUACUUUAAAACCUCUCCUCUCUGUUCUAUGCCUCUGGUCGACAUGUGUACUUCAGAAUAAUUCCUGACUGUCGGAUGUAUAGCAGAACUUUCACAUAACUUCUUGAUAAAACUGCUGUCUAUCUCCCUUUUCGACACUGCAAACAUAAAAAUCGAACAGGCAAUUAAAGAGGGGGUUGCAACCACAUGUUCCCCGUACAAACGGAUCGGAACUAAGAGCUCUUUCCCGGAUCUGCCACUGGAUUUAUACAUCAGAUGCAUCACAAAAUAUAAACAUGUUAUUAAAUAUACUAGAAUAUGAAAUAAAGAAAAUUUAAAAUAUUAAUCGAAAAUGUUGAAUUAUAAUUUAUGUCUACGAAACCCAAAGUUCCUACUUAAUUGGCCUUGUUUUCAAAUCAUAUCAAAUGUUUUCAUUGGUCUUCACAUGUUAGAAUAAUGUAGGUUAUUGCAUAUUCUUCAGAGCUGUAUCUUGAACUAAUGAAUUGAAAAAGAGGGGAUGGAUAUACGUACUAAACAUUAAAAAUUUUGUUUGUAUUUUCAACAUAUCUAACAAACAUGUGAGAAAAAUUAGUUUUAGAAUACGAAAUAUCUCUCUCAUUCUGUAAACAGAUAUUGUAGGAUUGUUAAGGUAGUUUGGUGUUUUUGAAACCCCCCCCCCCUUUUUUUUUGUAAUGUACACCACAAAAAACAUUUUAAUAGUUAGGAUAAAGAACUAAUAAACGAUAGUCCUAUAAUGUAAGGCUUCAGAGUUUCAUUUCAUUUACAUUUCAACAUGUUUAUCGGAUUUUUUUUUAUAUCAAUGUUGAACCGUUAUUUUUUAUCGGAUUUUUUUUAACUACCAAUGUCGAACCGUUGAACCGUUCAACAUUGAUAGUAAACAAAAGUUCGAUAAAAAAUGUUGAAUGUAAAUGAUAUGAACCUCCGGUCUUAUAUUAAAGGACAAUAUAUAAGACUUCUGAGAUUCAUAUCAUUUACAAUCAACGGUUUUAUCGGAUUUUUUGUUAUUACUUUGAACCGUUCUGUUUAAGCUGCUACGUUUCUUUGCCCUAUAUCACAUAAUUAUGAAAACACAUUACAUAGAUAGGGAAUACUGUGCUUGUGUACACGUUUGAAUGUGUAGGUGGCACACUCAGAACGAUCGUCUCUAGAUAUUUUUUUUAAUUCGUCCCGGCCUUUCCGGUUUCACGUAGCAACACGUUUCUUUCCUUUCCAGCUAUUCCUGAUUAUGAAUAAAUCCAAAACAUGCAUUUAUCCCAAAGCAACAACUAUUAAACAACUCACCUAUACCAAUGGUGAUCGUCUAAUUCCUAGCUGAUUCCUUUAAUCGUACCUUUCUUGACGACACCCAUCGUUGUAGCGUCUACCAUUGGAGGUAGCGAAAUUACAUGAUUUGACAGGAGAGCGAAAUAAACAAGGGAAGCAAUUUUAUCGAACCGCAUUCCGGACUGUAUGUGUUGUUUUUAUCACGCAUUCGAUUUGUAUACAAUUCACUGAAUUGUCUUUUAAGACAUAUUUCUGUUUAAUUAAAUCAGCGAAAGACAGUUGUAUUACAGUAUUUCAUGUACUUGAGUUCACAAGAUAACUGAAGAGUGUUUGAACAAAUUCCAAUCUUCAAAAUAAUUUACGCAGACUAUGUCUAACUUUACAAUAUGAUUCUUAUUUAGACUGUUAGAGUUAUCGAACUUUAAUGGACAAAAAAUCGGAAGUCUCAUGUGUCUACUUUUAGCCAUAUAAUUUGUUUUAUAAAUUCACGACUUGCAGAAGAAUGAAAUUCCUAAAAUUUUUGAUGAUUUGAAUUUACAAUAAACGCGUUUAAUAGUAUUUAAUCUUAAUAUAAAGCCGAUAUUUUCGUUUGAUUUUCAAUGGGAAAACCUGAAGAAGGAUUGUGAAAAUUGAUAUCAUGUACAACAUGUACAAGUAAAUAACGAAAAUAUUAAUCUUUUCUACGACAAGAUGAAAAUGGAAUAAUUGUGUACUAAAGUAAAAAUAUACUAUGUGCCAUGGCAACAGGUAAAAAUGAAUGGUCACCACUAUUCAAUGUUUUAAUCAUGAUUCAGUUUAUAUCAUAAGUAUUAUAAAUAAAUUUAUUAAUUAAGUAUAUGCAAGAGAAUAUGGUGGCCGAUUAAGGCCAUUUCUCGUUUUCGCCUUUUCGCCUUUUAUAUUCUAUAGGGCAAAAACGCGAAAACGCAAAGUCGAAAACGCGAUACCGAUUUCGCGUUUUCGCGUUUUCGCCCUAUUGAAUAUGAAAGUCGAAAUCGCGAAAACGCGAAAUGGCCUUAUCCGGCCACCAUAAGAUAAUGAUAAUCUAUUUCUUUUAUGAUUAAGGACGAGCGUGAGCGAGUACUAAUGAAGUCAGGGAUUAUCAUUCUCUUGGAUAUACUUAAUUAUUCUAUUUAUUUGUAAUACUUGUACAAUAAGUAAUAUAAAUAAUAUUAUAGAAGCACUUUGUUUAUAUAUGGAAUAUUGUAAAGUGCUCAAUGCUCGAAUGAUAUUUGUUUUUGGUUGACUUGUAUUCAAAAACUAGUUUCAUUGGCAGUGCAAUGUUUAUAAUUUAUGCAUAACUUCCCAUUUAUGUAUUAGUUACACUGAUUUAAGAACUCUCUUAUUAUAUGGAAAUAUCUUUUUUUGUAAAUGCUAAAGAUAAUACAUUACAAAACAAUACAAAGAAAAGGUAGGAAUUGUCUGUUUCCUGGUUGAGAUUAUUAAUAUAAAUCAUGUCAUAUUUAGUGAGGAAUUAUCCUUUUUUUAUGUACCGUUAAAAAAUAUUUAAAUAGUUAUCAAAAGUACCAGGAUUAUAAUUUUAUACGCCAGACGCACGUUUCGUCUACAUAAGACUCAUCAGUGACGCUCAGAUCAAAAUAGUUAAAAAGCCAAAUAAAUACAAAGUUAAAUACAUUUGAGUAACAAAUACGUUUAUUUCACAUCCACUAUUUUGUCCAGCUUUUAACAUCAAAUACUAUUUCAUUUUGGCAUGGAAAUGUUCAAAUGCCUUGAAAAAAAUAAUUAAUUUUUACAAAACUUAAAUAUCUGGUUGUACAAUUCGAAAGGAUAAUUUUGUAUGGUCAAUCGAAGGUGUGAAUAUGUACUAAAUUAAUUAGACAAUACUUGGCCAUGUUUAAUGAGUAUUUGGCUUUAAUUCUCUAUAAAACAUGACCAAGUUUUGUCUUACCUAUAUGUAAAUCAUGCUCUUAGUAAGGGAGUGUUCUAUUAUUUGAGUCUAUUUACUUUUAUAAAUGACUUACUACCGAGGUUACAACUGCCCUCAAGAAUUUUAUUAGAUUGAUCAGAUUUAUCACACAGUGAUUGACUAUGUUUAAAACUUUAAAUAAAUUGAAAUCCCUGGUUCAGUAAAAUUAGUACUCUGAAUGAUAUUAUGAAUAUAUUGAUAAAUUUAAAUUACUACAAAAAACUAUGAUUUAAGCAAUGCAAAAAAGGAAAUAAAAAGCCUAAAGAUAUAAACAUAAAUAUUCUACAAUGUCUAAAUAUUCUACAAUGUCCAUCUACACCUUUUAAUCUGGAUAUAGUACACACAAUUCCUGUAAUUACGAUACAACCUUAAUGAGAUUACAACAUAACCAAAAAACAUAUCAACACAAAUAAAUGAUCAACAGUAUGUAUUGUAUGGUAUAUUCCCGAUUGUCCCACUUUUUAAAAUUUUGGAGUUCUGAUUGUCCCACUUGAAAAGUUCUGAUUGUCCCACAUUAUUUUAUUACGUAAAAUUUUCUUAGAUAAACAAGGUAACUGUUGUUUAAUUUCCUAAAUAAACUAGAAUUAAUUAUUGCACAUUAAAUGUGAAUUUCAUAUCUUAUAAAAUAUUCUUUUUAUAAAUCUAUAAAAUUUUAAUUUUAAAAAAGAAUAUAAAAAAAUGCUUUUUUCAAAUCAUUAUAUUAGAUUGUUUUACCAAUAUUCAUAUUGUCUUUGACAUAGAGUGCAAUCAACGAGACUCAUCACCAAUUAUAUAAAGAAGAACCAGACUACAAUCAAAAAUAAGAAGGUGUGGUAUGAUUUCGAAUGAGACAACAUUCCAUCAGAGACCAAAUGAUACAGAAAUUAACGAUCAUAGGUCACCAUACGGCCGUCAAUAAUGAGCAGAGCCCAUACCGCAUUGUAAGAUUUAAAAGCACUGAUAUGAAAAAUGUAAAACUAUUCAAACGAGAAAAACUAGCGACCCAAAUUAUGUACUAAAUAAUGAACGAAAAAAAAAUAUGUUACACAGCAACAAACUACAACUACUAAAUUACAGGCACCUGACUUAGGACAAUCAAAUACAGAUUGUAGCGGAGUUAAACUUAUUUGAAGGCCCCUCCCCUCCCAAUAAACCGCAACAGUGUUUAAACAGUACAGCAUAAGAAUUAACUUUAAAACUCAGUUGAAUAGGGCAUAUCUUUUCAGAUGGGUACACACAGUAAUGCAUGUAACCAAAAUACAGAGUGGACGUGGACGGCUACUAAUACAUCAAAGACACUAAGUGCAGAUCUGAGAAUACUCGCAUUUCCCGACUGCUAGCUAGUUCAAAGCAAAUAAUAAAUAUUUUUUAAUUUAUACAUCUAAGACUAAAAUAUGUAAAUAUUAUUAUUUUUUUUCUUUCAAUAUUUUAUAAGUUAUGAAUUAUUAACCUGCAAUUAACUGCUAUACACUAUAAAACAAAAUGAUCACUAUCAAAAUAUUUCCCAAUUGUCCCACAUUUAAACUUCCCUAUUGUCCCACAAACAUAUUCCCGAUUGUCCCAAAAAAUUUCAUUACUUUUUUACCUGUAAUUUCAAAAAGUGGGACAAUUGGAGAGACACCGUAUGUAUAUGCUUUCGUUGGUUAAUUUCACAUUAUUUUAUCGAGCAAAUAAGCAGUUUAUAGCUAAAUGGAUAUCUAAAACUGUAUUGCCAAUUAGGUAAAAAAAAAUUACAAGAAUAUCUUACAUAUCUAUAAAUGUUUUUUUUAGUAGAUAAUGGCAAGCUCUGUACAGCCGUGCAGUGUAUGUGAAUAUCAACAUGUCUUUACAACUGCCUCCAUAUGGUGUUCGGAUUGUGACGAGGGGCUCUGUAUAGACUGCAAUAAGCAUCAUGGAAUUUCAAAAGCAACAAGAAAACAUGUAACUAUACCAAUAUCAGAAUAUCGAAAACUGCCGUCUUACAUCACAAAUAUUAAGCAAACAUGUAGUACACAUGAUGCCAAUUAUCUGAUUUACUGUCAUGAACAUGAAUGUGCGUGUUGUAGUAAAUGCAUCGUUGAAAAGCAUACAAAAUGUCAAAAUAUUUCCAAUCUUGAUGAUGUUGUCAAAAACACAAAAGCUUCAAACGCUUUUUUAGAAAUUUGUGAAACAUUAAAUGAAGUUGCUGAAAACAUCAAAAGGAUCCGUCAAGAUAAAAAUGGUAAUCUGAAAACAUUUUCCGAAAAAAGAAAACAGAUCGAAUGUGAAAUUGAACAGGUUCGGUUAAAUAUCAACCAACAUCUCGAUAAACUACAAGAGGACUUCAUAUCGGAAUUGCAUGUGACAGAAAGAAGAGAAAAAACAAAAAUCCAUCAGUUAAUGAAGGCUUUAGAUGAGCAUGAAAGUAAAGUUGAAGAGCACCAAAAUAACGUAGCAAACAUAAAAGAGUACGCAUCUGAUCUACAGACCUUUCUAGCACUUAAACAACUUGAAUCCGAUGUUGGUAAAAACUGUCAGUUCAUUGAUUCACUUACUGAAAGUGAUGUACUCAAUCGUGUGGAAAUCAAGUUUAACAUUAAUACUUCACUAACAGACAUUACACAUAGUGUUGAUGGGUUUGGAAACGUAUAUAUUGACAACUCCAGUACCGUAGUGAACAUUGCGAAGAAAAAGCAACAACAAGCUCAGUUGAUACGACCUAAAAUAUCACCCAUCAUUCCCAUUGAGAAUAUACAAGUCCAGUUGAAACAAAGCAUAAAAACAGAAUCGUACGUCAGAGGGUGCUGCAUAUUACCUGAUUGUAGAUUGGUGUUCACUUAUUCUCAAUUAAACAAAGUUACUGUAGUUAAACAAGACGGGAUGGUGGACUUUGUUUUGAAUGUAACAGCAGCAUAUGGUAUAGCGUACAACGAUAAAGAUAACACUAUAGCGAUAACAUCCUGUUGGGGUAGGCAAGGCAAACAAAUAACAAUAACUGAUUUAAAGGGACGAAGAGUAAAGAAAACUUUUUCACCCGGACGACAAACCACUGGUAUAGCGGUGACAAAUAACACACUGCUGUAUCACAUUGAAAAUAAAGCAAUUCGAGCCAUGGAUCUUGCUGACGAAUCAACACGUGAUAUAACUACUGAGAACAUGGACACAGUAAUCAACAUAACUAUAUCUGGACACAAACUUUAUUAUUCCAGUAAUAAGUAUCAUACAGUAGUAUGCUGCGAUAUGCAAGGAGCGAAACAAUGGACAUUAAAAAAUGAAAACAUUUUAAAGAAUCCAUUAGGAAUAUCAGCUGACAAUGCUGGUUACGUGUAUGUUGGAGGAUGUGGAUCAAAUAAUGUCGUGGUUAUCUCCCCUGAUGGACAAACACAUAGAGAACUCUUAACUAAAAGAGAUGGUUUAGAUUCCCCAUUUUCAAUUAACUUUAGAAAGGAAACUAAUCAGUUAUUGGUUGCAAAUGGUUGUCAGAAAGCGUAUUUGUAUAACGUAUCUUGUUAUUAAAACACUUAAAUAUUAGAUUUUAAUGUAGUAUUGAAUGAAAUGUAAAUAGGGAAUUUAUACAAAAAACACAUGCAUACAUGGACUAAAGUUGUUUACACUUCUUC